UGAGUUUCUGGGUCCCUGAGCCUGACGGCUCCUCACUGGGGACUAGAAGGAGCUCCAAGGAUGGUUCACCUGGAAACAACACAAACACUUUUAGACAUGAAGUGGUAAAUUAAGAUUAUGCAAUAGAGAUUUAUUUAUUUUUUUGUCCGAGAGUUGGUGAAUAAGGCACUGGAGAAUGCGGUAACUCAGCAGACGUAAGAGUUAAGAAUCCAGCAUCGAACCAACCCAGCUUGAAUACAAACCAUGUUCCCUGCAUCUCUGCUGCUGCUGCUUGUAGCUGCAUCAUGUGUGCACUGUGGUCUUGAGCUCACCCAACCAAGCUCAUUGGAUGUAAAGCCUGGAGAGUCUUUGAGCAUCACCUGUAAGGUCUCUGGUUAUUCUCUGACUGAUAGCAGCAACGUCUAUGGAAUCGGCUGGAUCCGUCAGCCUGUAGGAAAAGCACUUGAAUGGAUUUGGACCAUCUAUUAUGAUGGAAGCUCAAGAUCUCAAAGUUCCCUAAAAGACAGGUUCAGUGUCACAAGAGACACUUCCAGCAACACAGUGUUUUUAAAAGGACAGAAUCUGCAGACUGAAGACACAGCUGUGUACUAUUGUGCUCGGUGGCCACAGUGAUACAAACCACCAACAGACCAGUACAAAAACCCUAUAUGUAUGUGAUGAAUCAAGUACAAGCACAAACAGUAUGGCACUUAUUAGUAUAAGUAGAGUCCAAAUAAAUAACCAGUGGUGUAAAAGACUUAAGUAAAAAUACUUAACUAGUCUCUUGGGGUAUUUGUACUUUACUAUUUAUACUUUUUAAAACUUAUCAUUUUACAUUCCUAAGUAAAUGUCUGUACUUUUUAUUCCAUACAUUUUCCCUGACACCCAAAAGUACACGUUACGUUUUGAAUGCCUAGCAUGACAGGAAAGUGGACCGAGUCAUGUACUUAACAAGAGAACAUCCCUGGUCAUCCCUACCAAAUGCUUGUAUUGGUUGACUUUCACUUUAACUUGACUCAUUUUCUAUGAAUGUAUCUUUACUUUUACUCAAGUAUGACAAUUGGGUAUUUGUUCCACCACUGUAAAUAACUAGUAUAAAAAUGAAUAAAUUGAUUGACUGUUACAAGCUGAACCAACCUGCAUUAUGAACUGUGAAAUUAAAUACAAAGUUGAGUGAAAUGUU